rnacentral:rRNA from 1 species
GACGAACGCUGGCGGCGUGCUUAACACAUGCAAGUCGAACGAAGAGCGAUGGAAGCUUGCUUCUAUCAAUCUUAGUGGCGAACGGGUGAGUAACGCGUAAUCAACCUGCCCUUCAGAGGGGGACAACAGUUGGAAACGACUGCUAAUACCGCAUACGAUCUAACCUCGGCAUCGAGGAAAGAUUAAAGGUGGCCUCUAUUUAUAAGCUCUCACUGAAGGAGGGUAUUGCGUCUGAUUAGCUAGUUGGAGGGGUAACGGCCCACCAAGGCGAUGGUCAGUAGCCGGUCGGGGAGGAUGAACGGCCAAAUUGGGACUGAGACACGGCCCAGACUCCUACGGGAGGCAGCAGUGGGGAAUCUUCCGCAAUAGACGAAAGUCUGACGGAGCAACGCCGCGUGAGUGAUGACGGCCUUCGGGUUGUAAAGCUCUGUUAAUCGGGACGAAAGGCCUUCUUGCGAAUAGUGAGAAGGAUUGACGGUACCGGAAGAGAAAGCCACGGCUAACUACGUG